rfam:Rattus norvegicus chromosome 14, whole genome shotgun sequence.
UUUCAUUAACCACCCAACAUCUUCAGAAAAAGGGGUCACUUAUUAAAACACCAGAGCAUCCUCGGUCAAGCUCCUGUGGUAUCAUACAUAGGCCCAGGUCACACCAAGAGCUCCUGCGUCACCUCCGCACCAUUGAC